GACGAACGCUGGCGGCGUGCUUAACACAUGCAAGUCGAACGGAAAGGCCCCUUUGGGGGAACUCGGGGGGGAAAGGGGGGAGUAACAGGGGGGUAACCGCCCUUGACCUUGGGGUAAACUUAAGGAAACGGGGGCAAUUACCGAAAGGAAAUCUUGGUGCAAGGGGGGGGGUGGGAAAGUUUCGGCGGUUUUGGAUGGACUCGCGGCUUAUCAGCUUGUUGGUGGGGUAGUGGCUUACCAAGGCUUUGACGGGUAGCCGGCCUGAGAGGGCGACCGGCCACAUUGGGACUGAGAUACGGCCCAGACUCCUACGGGAGGCAGCAGUGGGGAAUAUUGCACAAUGGGCGGAAGCCUGAUGCAGCAACGCCGCGUGCGGGAUGACGGCCUUCGGGUUGUAAACCGCUUUCAGCAGGGGCGAAGCUUGUGGUGACGGUACCUGCAGAAGAAGCACCGGCUAACUACGUG
rnacentral:rRNA from 1 species